GAGCGGGGCGAAGGGGCCGAAUCACCAGCGGCCCGCGUUGCCGGGCCGGGACUCUCGGGCCGCAGUGGACGCCGCGCCGCCUGCAUGCGGGCGCAUGCGCCGCUGCUUCGGGCCGCGCGUGGGCUCGCUCGCGCGUGCGCCGCUCCCUCCGGCCGCGCGUGGGCUCGCUCGCGCGCCUUCCUCCCGGCGCAGAGUUUCCGGCAGGACCGCAGGAAGCGCGCAUGUGCGGCCUCGCUCUGCCCGCAAGCUCUGCACGGGGCAAACUGUGUUCCUUUCCACUUCGGGACUGCAGGGGCUGGUUCGGUUCACGGAACUCGGAGGUUUUCCCCGCCCAGAGCUGAUGCGCACAGUUGAACAAGAGCAACUCACGGAAGAGGUUGUUUUUAUAAUUCGUUGCUGAUCCCUUUUCUCCUCAUUCUGUGGGAUUUACCCAGCUGCUAGCCCCAAUGAGCACCCGGCGAUAGCUGGCAAAGGUCAUCUACAGCCGGGAGCAUCACCUCGAAGGGGGCAGGAGGGCUCCAGGUCAGAGACACCUCGGGGAGACCGCCUCUGUGUGCUGUCAGGACGGACUGGCUGUGCUGUGUAACACACACGCCCAAACCCGGAGACUCACUCAAGUCGCCUGCGGUGGCCUCCGACCCCCACGGGCCUCAUACCUGGCGCCUGGUCUCAGGCAGGCCGCAGGUCCAGUCGGGAAGAAAGAACGCGGAGGAUCAGGAACCAGCUUUUCAGUGUUCGCCCUUGGGUGACACAUGGCCCUUCAGAUGAAGGUCGCGCCUCUUUCACCAUCCGUCCAUCCAAGUGGCAGUGGCCUCCUGAGUGUAAGCCGGUGACAUCCAGCUGCAUCUGGAAACUCAGCCCCGGGACAAAGUCCAGAUCCCCUCAGAGGACCCAGCAGAGGACCCGCCAGCCGGCAGGGCUCCCCGUUUCUCCUGGACACUCUUCCCUCCGCCGCCGACCCUGCCUCCCUACAUCUCCCUCCACCCAGUCAGUACCUUCCUAUUUCCACCGCGGUUGAGUGAAUACGGUCCCCACAGCCACAUCAAGAGAUGAUGCAGCAGGGAGCGUCUGUGGAGUUCCACAGAGUGAGCGAGUCAGCUUAGACGCCUCCAAAUACAGAGGUGGGGACAGCGAUGCCAGGACCCCUACCUCGGUGUGCCCGCAAGCUGUGGGCCUGGAGCUCUGAGAGGAAGCCCUGGCACCUCGCAGGGAAGAAGGCGGACCUGAGCGGGGGCCUGAACUAAAAUGCAUCCAAGUUAGUUGCACCUGUUUCCUUUCACGCUUUUACCAGCCUGCCAGGACGCUCACAAUGGCACGCGGGCUCACGCUGCAUUUCCGCUGGACAGCACCCAGCUGGGCCCACAGGGGCGUUGGUGGGCUUGCUGAAAAAGGGCCAAGGAUGAGGAGAGAAGCCCCGGACCCCCUCGGUCCCCGCCGCACACAGGCCGGCACUGAGGCGGAGGACAGGCCUCCCCUGUGACGCCGCUGCAGCCCCGGCUUGUGUGUCCCACCGGGAGAAUCAGGAUGGACAGCCCUGUGGCCGCGGGCCUCCAGCCCAGCCUGUCGGGGCUCGUGGUCGGGUGUGUGUCCCCCCUGCCAGACUUUAGGACGGACAGCCAGGGAACCCAAGACCGCCGCCCACAGACAGUGGAGAAGGGAUCCAAGAGGGAGGGGGCAGGGGAAGGGCCGGCCCACCACAGCCCACCAACCCCUUCGCCCUCGCGAUGCUUCUCACGCUGUCAGCCUGGCGGCCUCCUGGAGGAAGCGGGGCCACCCUGUACCCUGAGACCCCACCAGCGCUGCGGCCUGGACCCUCCUAGACCGGCUGUCGCCACACAGGGGCUCCAGGACGGCUCGCUCACCUCCCGCAGGCCUGUGGCGCCCCCCCUCGACCGCACCUCCCGUGCUCCUUGUGAGCUGGACUCCCCCACCCCCCGCAGCCCCGGCACUAAAGCCGCGGUUCUCCCAGCCUCUGCCCGCCAGCCCCGCUCCACUUCUCGCGAGGCGGCAAAGCACGGCUCCUGAAAACGUGAACUGCCUCGCUCAGCGUGUUUGCGGGACGUACCGCCCAGCACGCUCUGCACAGUCCCGGCGCCAGGCAGACAGCGUUAGGCAAAGGGGAACGCCGAGCCGCCCCAGCGCCGCGCCCUCGAGGCCAGGCCAUCGACGGCGGGCCUGUCGGGCGGCGACCGGGGCCUCAAGGGCAGCAACGCCGCCCGGGGCUGGAGCCACACGCGACUCCCAGCGACGCGGAGCAGAAGCCUGCAGGUCGGCCUCGCGCGUGAAUCCGGGGGAGGUGGGCCCCGGGGCCGGAGAGGGGACCCUGGUGACGCCUGGGGGCGAUGAGCCUCCCCGACGUGGGCCGGCCGCGGGCCGAGGAGUGGACCGUAGGCCAGGGAAGCCGCGGAAGCGCCUCGAGGGAGUGAGUCGGCCUGUGGCGCCGCGUGGGGUUCACAGCCACGGCGGUGGCCGGCCGGGGCUUCGGGGACAGGGGUGGGGCGUGUGGAACGUGAGAUGUGAGGGGUCCGGACACAUGUCCCCAGGGUCCCAGCGGCCGUCUCCCUAGGAGCGUCCCCGUGCGUCCAGGGCCACCCUGCAGGCCCUCUCCAGAGCCUGGGGGGCAGGCCCGCUGGUGUGACAGUCGCUGCUCCAGAACGGAGGCGGCCGCCAACUCUGGCCAGCGAGGUGAGAACUACCGAGGCGGCUCUGACAUUGUGCUAGCACCCGGCCGUAACGUGGAUGCCCACGGCGCUCUGCCCCGCAUGAGGAGGUGGGCCCUGAUGGGGGGCGUGGACCCCUCGGGGGCACCCUGGGGACACCUUGAGCUAGGUACC